UUUUGGGAUUUCCAGAAGAAAAGAUCAAGGGGGAAUUAUCAAGAAUACAUUCUUUUUCUGAGUAGUUAAGCCUAAAAUGACCACAACCUUGGCCCUUCAGACUUCAGAGAUGCAGGAGGGACUUCUGUCAGUGAAAGUAAAAGAGGAAGAAGACCGUGUCUGUGGGCAAGAAUCUGGCCUGUCAAGAGAUAACCCUCAUACCAGAGAGUUCUUCGGUAGAUGUUUCAGGCAGUUCUGCUAUUGGGAGACACCUGGGCCCCGAGAGGCUCUUCGAAGACUCUGGGAGCUCUGCCAUCAGUGGCUGAGGCCUGAGCUGCACACCAAAGAGCAGAUCCUGGAGCUGCUGGUGCUGGAGCAGUUCCUGACCAUCCUGCCUGAGGAGCUCCAGGCCUGGGUAAGAGACCACCACCCAGUGAAUGGCGAAGAGGCAGUGACUGUACUGGAGGAUUUGGAGAGAGAGCUGGAUGAACCAGGAGAGCAGGUCCCAACCUAUGUUCAUGAACAGGAAUUGUUUGUGAAGGAGAAAGCAACUCUAGGACCAACCCAGGAAUCGUCAGUUGGCCAGAUCCAAACCUUGGAAGAGCAGUGUCAAUGUAACUUGCGAGAGGUGUACCUGGUACAAGACAUUGAUAAUGAGGCUGGGGCUUGGAAUGAGCUUUCCAAAGAAAUGAAAUCUCUUGUGGAAUUACCUGGAAAAUUAAAUGGGGAUAUUAUUCAGAUGCCUGAAAGUGGAGGCACCUGUGACCAUGAGGACAGAUUGGAAAGGCAAAGGGUAAGCUCUUCAGUGGAGAGACCCUAUAUCUGUGGUGAAUGUGGAAAAAGCUUCACUCAGAAUUCCAUCCUUAUCGAGCACCAGAGAACACACACAGGUGAGAAGCCCUAUGAGUGUGAUGAGUGUGGGCGGGCCUUCAGCCAGCGUUCAGGCUUGUUCCAGCACCAGAGACUGCACACUGGGAAGAAGCUCUACCAAUGCAACAUUUGUGGCAAAGCCUUCAGCCAGAACGCUGGGCUUUUCCAUCAUCUCAGGAUCCACACUGGGGAAAAACCUUACCAGUGUAAUCAGUGCAGUAAGAGCUUUAGUCGACGUUCUGUCCUCAUUAAGCAUCAGAGAAUUCAUACUGGAGAAAGACCUUAUGAAUGUGAAGAAUGUGGCAAGAACUUCAUUUACCAUUGCAACCUCAUUCAGCAUCGGAAAGUCCACCCUGUGGCAGGAUCCUGCUAGCUCCUUGGAACAGUACAAAAUUCUGAAGAAAGAAAGCAAAGAGGAUCUAAAUAAGUGGAGAAGAUACACUGUGUUCAUGGAUUUGAAGACUCAAAGAUGUCACUUCUCCCAAAGUUGAUAUACAGGGCCACCCAGGAAGAAACUUUCCACAGAAAAUCAUGCUUGAAGCAGUGAUAAAGCUUUCACACAGCUGUGAUGUCAUCUACUUGAGCUAUCCAGACCCACAAGGACCAAAAUGAACUUUUGGAAGUAAAGACGAGGGAGGAGGAGGAAGAGUAUAAAUAUACCACCAGACAGGAAUAGAACCUGCAAAAAAAACAAACCAAAACAAACAAACAAAUGAAAAAAUCCAUAGCAGAGAGAUCUUCUGACGGAAAUUUAGGCAGUUCUGCUGCCAGGAAACAUCUUCAGCCUGUGAGACUUUGUGCGAACUCUGGGAGCUCUGCCAUUAGUGGCUGAGGCUAGAGCGGGUGCUGGGGCUGGUGCUGGAGCAGGUCCUGACCACCCUGCCUGAGGAGCUCCAGGCCUGGGUUCAGGAACAGCACCCAGAAAGUGGGGAAGAGGUGGUUACUGUGCUGGAGGAUUUAGAGAAAGAACUGGGUGAGCCAGGAUAUCAGGUGAGAAAAAAGAUGUAGUUUCUGUUUGAGAAAAGAUGAAUUUUUGAUUUCUAGGCCAGAGUGAAGUAGAGAAUUAUUGCACAAAUUAUGUUCUUGACACUUUUAGUGCAUCAGAAGGGGGGCUAAGUGUCAUGGAAAAUUGGUUAAUGUGGUCCUAACUUAUUUAUACCUUUUCUGUGAAAGGAUCAUGUAUUUCUGUACUAAGCUACAAAAUUCCGUUCUAUGACAUGCUGCUCAGAACAUUAUGAACAGAAGACUUCUAGUACAGAGAGAAAAUGUGAGAGAGAUGAUGGUAACAGGGCGGGCAGCAGCCUCUUAAAAGGGGCAUCACUUCUGUUGCACAAUCAAAAUAAUUAAGAAAUAAGGUUUUGUCGAUAUGUACACUGCUCUGUCUCCAGUAAAAGAUGAAAGAUGGAAAAAUCAAAGUCAGUCUCAGAGGAAUAAGAUGUAGGAACUGAAUGGAAAGUUA